UACGUAGGGUGCGAGCGUUGUCCGGAAUUAUUGGGCGUAAAGAGCUCGUAGGCGGCCCGGCACGUCCGUCGCUGAAAUCCCCCGGCUCAACCGGGGAAGGGGCGCGGAUACGACCGGGCUGGAGGGGGGUAGGGGGAGCCGGAACUUCCGGUGGAGCGGUGAAAUGCGUUGAGAUCGGAAGGAACGCCCGUGGCGAAAGCGGGCUCCUGGACCCCACCUGACGCUGAGACGCGAAAGCCAGGGGAGCGAACGGG
rnacentral:rRNA from 1 species